UACGGAGGGAGCUAGCGUUAUUCGGAAUUACUGGGCGUAAAGCGCACGUAGGCGGCUUUGCAAGUUAGAGGUGAAAGCCUGGAGCUCAACUCCAGAACUGCCUUUAAAACUGCAUCGCUUGAAUCCAGGAGAGGUGAGUGGAAUUCCGAGUGUAGAGGUGAAAUUCGUAGAUAUUCGGAAGAACACCAGUGGCGAAGGCGGCUCACUGGACUGGUAUUGGCGCUGAGGUGCGAAAGCGUGGGGAGCAAACAGG
rnacentral:rRNA from 1 species